rnacentral:tRNA from 2 species
ACGCCCGUAGCUCAGGGGAUAGAGCAACGGACUUCUAAUCCGUGUGUCGGAGGUUCGAAUCCUCCCGGGCGUGCCA